rnacentral:misc_RNA from 1 species
CAUGCGCAUGACCCUCUUCACACACCAGUCAAACCAGGAGCGCGCUCUGUGCGCAUUCGUUUUGCUCUUGUGCUGCCGGCAUCGUGGAUUAUGCGACUUCCCACACCCCGGGCAACACACCCAACCAUCAGUGUCUCCGUGCGUCUCUUCUUGUUUGUAUUUGUGUGACAGAGGGGUAUCCAGCAGCUAAGCUACCGUGCACCACUUCUUGUCGCUCCCCUCAACAGUCACCGGUGAUGCUGUGCUGAUCGCUGUGGGCACUCCAGCAGGCGACUGCCGGCCAGCGCUCACGUGCCCGAGUCAAAGAGCUGCGAGUACUCUUCCCUGAUCCAGCUUUCUUCUCCAUUCACACAGGUGCCCUUAUGAAGCGGCUGCUUCUGUUCGAUCCAUCGCCGCAGGCGGCGACCUCACGCGUGCCGCAGGACGCGGGCAACAGCGGGUUCGCAGGCAUCGCCUCCUGGGUCCGCAGCACAGCGCCUUCCGGCCAGGAGUCCGUUGAGCACCGCGUUGGUGUCAUCGUGCGCCACAGCUGCGCUCUGCUGGCACACAUAGCUGAGAAGCGCAUCACGUACUUACUCUAUCCUCGGCCUCUCAAGAUGCGCAUGACCAAUGCGUAGAGUGCAGCCUAUCUGUAUUACCGAGGGGUCGAUGUGGUGGCGCCGCUGGAGCAGUACAUGGCGGUGUCCGCCGUCGCGGCGAAGCUGUGUGAGAUUGAAGACGCUUGAGAGAUGCUUAACGUGAAAGCUCUUCACUCAUCCCUCGCCUACGUGUUCGCACAUCGCUACGCCGAGGAAACGCUCGUCGCGAGCGGCUGGCGACGUCGCCGACGAACUUCUUCCGUGAACUGCCGCUCACGACGCGCUACGCAGGUUUGCAGCGCUGCCCGACGGGGGACGCCCAGGUAGGCGUGCGCUACAGCUUCCGCACGACUGAGGCGGAUCUGCCAGGGCUCCCAAACCUUGCCGUACACCCCGUCGCCAUGGUCACCUUUGCAGUCGUCUUCGUCUUUCACGCCGAGCGGGAACUCGUGCAGAAGCGAGGGCGGCGGCUGGUGGCAGUCAAACUGGCUCCGCUCACCGCGGGGCCCCUAUGACGGAGUCGCGACGCGCGCCCCAAUGCCGAAUGAGGCCUGCUUGUAGCAUCCACGUCAGGAAGCGGUGGCGCUAGAGCCCAUGAACGACUGCAGGGAUUUUGCGUCUCUCACCAGCGGCUAACGUUCGUGAUGCGCUCCACAAAGAAACGCAGACGAAAGGAGAGGCUUCGACAGCGUCCAAGGCGGUGUUGCAGCGACACAGCGCGUCGUCUCGUGUGGAUGACGGCAGUGGGAUGUGCGCGUGUGUGUGUGUAGACCUCUGCGCUCGACGCAACCCAUUCCACAAAUGACCUUGACAC